ACACCCUCAAGCUCUGCUUGGUGUUGGGCGUCUGUCCCGCCUCGGCGCGCGGACUCGCCCCAAAUGCAUUGGCAGCGGUCUUUGCCUCCUCUCGCGCAGCACAUUGCGCUUCUCGAGGUGUCGCGGACACGCGUCCAGUAAGCAACAUUUUACCGU
rnacentral:misc_RNA from 1 species